rnacentral:snRNA from 1 species
AUACUUACCUGGCAGGGGAGAUACCAUGAUCACGAAGGUGGUUUUCCCAGGGCGAGGCUUAUCCAUUGCACUCCGGAUGUGCUGACCCCUGCGAUUUCCCCAAAUGUGGGAAACUCAACUGCAUAAUUUGUGGUAGUGGGGGACUGCGUUCGCGCUCUCCCCUA